CAGAUGAAAAUACUGAGGCAGAGAAAAGUUAAGUAAGUUCCCCAAAGAGAAAUACACAGCUAAGAAGUGUUAGUUUAACCUGACCAUGUGGCAGAAAGCCAGAUAUGCAAAGAAAAACAUGGGGGAAUGGAUCAAGAAUGCAAUAAUACAAGAGGACAUCACCAAGGGAAUGAGCCUAGACCAAGAAAGGUACUACAAACUGGGUCUGAAGCACUGUGAACAGGGUGGAAGAAGAGCAAAACAUAAAACCUGUUUCAGAGAAUGAGUGACAAGUUUUGUUGGGUCAAAUACAGCGACUGCUCAUGUA
rnacentral:lncRNA from 10 species